GAGAGAAUAUAAAUUCAUAUGUACAGAUAGAGGAUAGGAUAAAAGAGCGAAGAGUGAUCCGAUAACUAAUGGGUGCAUAUUACCAGAAAAUGGAAAUAAUCAACGCGUCUCCUACAAGCUCUUGCCUCUCUCUCUUUCAUUGUGAAAUGCAAGAAACUGAUGGUCUAAGGGAUCCUUCGAGAUCCAUUUUCCCUCACAAUACCUUCAAUUUCUCA
rnacentral:misc_RNA from 1 species